GCGACCACAGCACCCCGAACGCACCCCCUCUCAGCUCAUCUCAGAAGCUAAGCGGGGUUGGGCCUGCUGAGUAGCUGCAUGGGAGAAGAGCAGGUGUCCAAAGCC
ensembl:rRNA 5S_rRNA 5S ribosomal RNA